UCCUACCAUGCAGUCGAGCGGUUGAGGGAGCUUGCUCCCUGAUUCAGCGGCGGACGGGUGAGUAAUGCCUAGGAAUCUGCCUGGUAGUGGGGGACAACGUUUCGAAAGGAACGCUAAUACCGCAUACGUCCUACGGGAGAAAGCAGGGGACCUUCGGGCCUUGCGCUAUCAGAUGAGCCUAGGUCGGAUUAGCUAGUUGGUGAGGUAAUGGCUCACCAAGGCGACGAUCCGUAACUGGUCUGAGAGGAUGAUCAGUCACACUGGAACUGAGACACGGUCCAGACUCCUACGGGAGGCAGCAGUGGGGAAUAUUGGACAAUGGGCGAAAGCCUGAUCCAGCCAUGCCGCGUGUGUGAAGAAGGUCUUCGGAUUGUAAAGCACUUUAAGUUGGGAGGAAGGGCAGUAAGCGAAUACCUUGCUGUUUUGACGUUACCGACAGAGUAAGCACCGGCUAACUCUGUGCCAGCAGCCGCGGUAAUACAGAGGGUGCAAGCGUUAAUCGGAAUUACUGGGCGUAAAGCGCGCGUAGGUGGUUUGUUAAGUUGGAUGUGAAAUCCCCGGGCUCAACCAGGGGAACUGCAUCCAAAACUGGCAAGCUAAA
rnacentral:rRNA from 1 species